GCCCCUGUAGUUCAAGGGAUAGAAUGCAGCCCUGCGGAGGCUGUGAUCCGGGUUCGAAUCCCGGCAGGGGCG
rnacentral:tRNA from 1 species